UUAACUGUAUAUACAUAUUGUAGACACGUAAAAUUUAUUGGAUCAAAGUCAUAUAAAAUUUGAAUUUGAUUCAUAUUUUAUUGGGUCUAAAAUUAUUUUGGGCUUAAAAAAAAUAAUGAUAAGCCUAUUUCAUUCCUCAUCAAGGUCCAUCUCACUUUGAAGCCAAACUCAUCAAGUGACGUGACAUCCCAGUCAAAUUCAAGACCAAUGAGACGCCGCCACAUGUACAAAUGAUGUGGAAGUCUCAUUUAAAUUCAACAACCAAUCAAAAGACGUCAAGUGUCAAAGUGACAUAUUUCGGCCAAUCACAAGCAACUAGGCCUAUUCCUUAUAACUAUAAAUAGGGGGUAACAUAACAUUCUAAAGAGGAAAAGAAAAAGGAGGACAUUCUGCAAGCAUUGGAGGAAGCCUCUGCAUUGACUACAUAACUCUUCAACGAAUUGACUAACGAAGUUCUGCCCGGAGAUCAACUCGACACGACGAAGUGAUGUCAGACAAUUCUUGGAGAUCCAAACACAUUUCUAGGAGGCUCAAAUCAUUCUACAUUCGAGAAUAACGCUGCAAAGGCCCUCGAAUCACGGAAAAACUUAGGAGAGAAGAAUCGAGAGAACAAUGGAAUUGUACCC
rnacentral:lncRNA from 1 species